UCUCUUCUCUUCCUAGUUUUGUUUUCUCUGGAAUUUUCUAACGAAGGAACUCUAGAAUAUUUGUGUGAGAAAUCAAAGAGGUCGAACUUGGAAUUGAUAAUGGAUUGUUGCUAUCAGCGUUUAAUGAAAGAGGAAUGAAAGAAUUAUCAGACAUGGGGAAGUGGCAGAAACUGCUGUACUACAGAGUACCAUACUGCAGAAUUUGCACAACCUGGCAGAGUUUUUGAGGUUGAAAUGAGGCACCUAGACUGCACGGAUUUUGUUGAUUUUUGGAUAUGAAGAACCCAUUUUUGUGAUUAACAAGCUGUAAAAAUUUCAAGUUUUGAACAUAUGGUUAAAAUCUCGUUACGAUCCGAUCAAGGGAUUGUUGUCUUCUGGUUUAUGAUUAAAGUGGCACCGAAUACACUAAAACAGCUGAACUCGAUCGAGUUACUAUGCAAAGAAUAAUAGGUGGACUUUGGUGGUACCGGAUAGAUCUUAGUGUAUGUCGGCAUCAUUUGCUUCCGUGUUGACUUCAACAACAUUUCUAAGGAGAGUUGCAGCAGCAACAGGUUGCUAAAGACAAACACAUUUAAGGAUGGAAUGAUACCAUGGGACUAAGAACUAAAAUCCUCUGUAGUUAUUAAUUAAUGUAAGCCAUGUCGUUUUAUCUGUCAAUUCAUUUACGGUGAUAUUACAUUAGCGUAUUAACGGAUACAAUUCAAUUUUCAUGCUCUAUUGAAUAUAUCAUUUGGUGGUGUUUGAGUUGAUGAAGGAUUUGUGUGUAAAAGUGGAAGGUGAUCAAUUACUAUCUAAAAUUCCUUUUGA